UACAGAGGUCCCAAGCGUUGUUCGGAUUCACUGGGCGUAAAGGGUGCGUAGGUGGCUUGGUAAGUUUGAUGUGAAAUCUCCGGGCUUAACCCGGAAAUGGCAUUGAAUACUAUUGAGCUGGAGGUUUGGAGGGGGGACUGGAAUUCUCGGUGUAGCAGUGAAAUGCGUAGAUAUCGAGAGGAACACCAGUGGCGAAGGCGGUUGCCUGGAGCUUUGCUGACGCUGAGGCGCGAAAGCGUGGGGAGCGAUCCGG
rnacentral:rRNA from 1 species